UGGCGGCAGGCCUAACACAUGCAAGUCGAGCGGUAGAGAGGUGCUUGCACCUCUUGAGAGCGGCGGACGGGUGAGUAAUGCCUAGGAAUCUGCCUGGUAGUGGGGGAUAACGCUCGGAAACGGACGCUAAUACCGCAUACGUCCUACGGGAGAAAGCAGGGGACCUUCGGGCCUUGCGCUAUCAGAUGAGCCUAGGUCGGAUUAGCUAGUUGGUGGGGUAAUGGCUCACCAAGGCGACGAUCCGUAACUGGUCUGAGAGGAUGAUCAGUCACACUGGAACUGAGACACGGUCCAGACUCCUACGGGAGGCAGCAGUGGGGAAUAUUGGACAAUGGGCGAAAGCCUGAUCCAGCCAUGCCGCGUGUGUGAAGAAGGUCUUCGGAUUGUAAAGCACUUUAAGUUGGGAGGAAGGGCAUUAACCUAAUACGUUAGUGUUUUGACGUUACCGACAGAAUAAGCACCGGCUAACUCUGUGCCAGCAGCCGCGGUAAUACAGAGGGUGCAAGCGUUAAUCGGAAUUACUGGGCGUAAAGCGCGCGUAGGUGGUUUGUUAAGUUGGAUGUGAAAGCCCCGGGCUCAACCUGGGAACUGCAUUCAAAACUGACAAGCUAGAGUAUGGUAGAGGGUGGUGGAAUUUCCUGUGUAGCGGUGAAAUGCGUAGAUAUAGGAAGGAACACCAGUGGCGAAGGCGACCACCUGGACUGAUACUGACACUGAGGUGCGAAAGCGUGGGGAGCAAACAGGAUUAGAUACCCUGGUAGUCCACGCCGUAAACGAUGUCAACUAGCCGUUGGGAGCCUUGAGCUCUUA
rnacentral:rRNA from 1 species